GGUACAGGGCGGUCUCCAUUUUCCUCAUCGUCAUCAUAGUAACGUUGUCCCAAAAAGACUGAAAUCACCAAAUACUCUUUUAAGUGUUUAAUGGUGGACGCUCUUCUGCUUCCUAGCUUCCAUCUCUGAGAAUCUCCACGCUCUACCUAUACAUACACAAAUCUAUAUACAUAUAUACAUAUACGUAGGCCAAGAAAGUUAGAGUGUAAUUGAUCAGAUCUAGGUGAUGGCUUCCCCUGGAAAUCUUAAUCAACCAGGUGGAGGACCAUUCGACGUGCCCAAAUUCUUCAAGACAUCGGCGCCGUCACCACCGCCGCCUGUGGCGGCGGCGGUAGCAGCCGCAAACCCUACUCCCCAAAACCCUAACUUCAUUUCCUCCUCGCCUUUUCCUCCGCCGUCUGUUGCUUCCUAUCCUCCCACCUCCGGGAUGGAAUAUAUUUACUCUUUUCCGCCUCAGACCUCCGCUCCAUUCCCCCACCACCCCCAAUUCCACCACCAGCACCUCCCUCCCUACACCGCCCCGCUUCUUCCUCAAGCCCAAGGGCUUCAGAGAUCCAUGUCUUUCCCCACCCCACCUCUUCAACCUCCGCCGGCGACUCCUCACCAGUUCCAGAACCCUAAUGCUACCCCCAAUCCAGGGGCUCGCCUCAUGGCUCUGUUAGGUGCGCCGCCUUCCACUCUCGAAACUCCGCAACAGAUAAUGCCAGUGCCGCCCAUUCACUCUGCCGCUUCCGGGUCGGACCCUUCCGAAUUUCCAUUGCCCCACGGUGCUCCCGGGUCUCUAUCGGGUCCUCUGCCAGUGCGGAUGCCCAGCAGUAAGCUGUGUAUAGGGCGGCAUUUGAGUGGCGACCACAUUAGUUAUGACAUUGAUGCUAGAUUGCCUGGUGAGGUGCAGCCUCAACUCGAGGUUACUCCCAUUACAAAGUAUACUUCAGAUCCUGGACUUGUUUUGGGCCGGCAAAUUGCAGUCAAUAAGACUUACAUAUGUUACGGAUUGAAGUUGGGUGCUGUUCGGGUCCUUAACAUCAAUACUGCUCUCAGAUCAUUGCUAAAGGGCCUAGCGCAGAGGGUCACGGACAUGGCUUUCUUUGCAGAGGAUGUUCAUCUUUUGGCUAGUGCAAGUGUUGACGGGCGGGUUUAUAUAUGGAAAAUCACUGAGGGACCGGAUGAGGAAGACAAGCAGCAAAUAACUGGCAGGAUGGUUACUGCUAUUCAAGUUGUGGGAGAAGGAGAAUCUUUUCAUCCACGAGUUUGUUGGCAUUGUCAUAAACAAGAAAUUCUUGUGGUUGGGGUUGGAAAGAGAAUUUUGAGAAUUGAUACAACCAAAGUUGGAAAAGGCGAAGUAUUUUCGGCUGAAGAACCACUGAGAUGCCCAUUUGAUCGGUUGGUUGAAGGGGUUCAGCUUGUUGGUACUCAUGAUGGAGAAAUUACUGACUUAUCAAUGUGCCAGUGGAUGACCACUCGUCUCGUGUCUGCUUCAGUGGAUGGCAUGAUCAAGAUUUGGGAUGACCGCAAGCCCAUGCCACUUGCAGUACUAAGGCCAUAUGAUGGUCAACCAGUUCAUUCGGUUACAUUUUUGGUUGCUCCAGAGCGCCCAGACCACAUCAUACUUAUUACUGGGGGCCCACUGAACAGAGAACUGAAGGUAUGGGUAUCUACAAGUGAAGAAGGAUGGUUGCUUCCCAGUGAUGCUGAAUCAUGGCACUGUACACAGACAUUGGAGUUGAAGAAUUCAGGUGAAGCUCGAGUCGAAGAAGCAUUUUUUAAUCAAGUCAUGGCUUUGUCUCAAGCAGGUCUAUUUUUAUUGGCAAAUGCAAAAAAGAAUGCCAUAUAUGCAGUGCACCUAGAAUAUGGCCCUAAUCCAGCAUCAACACGGAUGAAUUACAUAGCAGAAUUCACAGUUACUAUGCCAAUAUUGAGUUUUAUUGGGACAAGUGAUUUACUACCGCACGGGGAACAGGUUAUUCAGGUGUAUUGUGUGCAAACACAGGCUAUUCAGCAGUAUGCUUUGGACCUAUCCCAGUGUUUGCCACCUCCACUGGAGACUGCCAUGUUAGAGAAGUCAGAAUCUAGUGCCUCACGCGAGGUUAUUAGUAUUGAAGGAUUUGCUCAAAAUGAGCACUCUGGAAGUAAACCAACGGAAUUACCUAUAUCUAGUUCUGCACCCAAAAUUCCUGUGCAUGAUGGUGGUUCUGAGAGUGUGCCUACAGUGAGGAAUCCUGUUGGUUCUGCUUCUAUUGAGAUAGCUACGCCACAGGAGUUCAGUUCUAGCAUGGAAAACAAACCGGCUACUAGCUCCAUUGUAAAUGCCAAUGCUGAUAUUCUUCCCAUUGCAUCACCUCCUCUUCCUUUGAGUCCUAGAUUGUCUCAGAAGCUUUCUAGUUUUAGAAGCCCAUCAAACAGCUCUGAACCUGGUCCUUCUCUUAAUCAUCGUGGUGGAGAUCCAAUUGUUGAAUAUUCAGUUGACAGACAAAUGGAUGCCAUUCAUGCAAAUUUGUCUGAUGCAGCUUCUCUGGAUGAUGAUGAAAACAAGGUUUCUCAUGAGGAGGUUUCCUCAGGUCUCAAUAAUCCUAUCAAAUUCAAACAUCCCACUCAUCUGGUUACUCCUUCAGAGAUUUUGAUGGCUACAAAUCAGCAGAAGAAUGAUGGAGAAAAGAACAUACAAGAUGUUGUAAUCAACAAUGAAGCACGCAACAUGGAGGUUGAAGUUAAGGUUGUGGGUGAAUCAAUAUCUAGUCAGAAUAAUGACACUCGAGAAGAACUUCACGUUAAUGUCUCAAAUAAGAAGGAGAAAUCCUUUUGCUCUCAAGCCUCUGAUCUUGGAAUGGAGAUGGCUCGAGAGUGCCAUGAUGUUUCACCUGAAACCUAUAUUGUUGAAGAUUCUAAGCAAAUUCAUAGUGCUAAUGGAGGUGAAGAACUGGCCCAACCAUCAAAUGAUCAAGAGGAAGAUUGCAAUUCUACCAAAGAUGUCCCCAGAAAGGAGUUAAACUCAACUAACCCAGUUCCUGUUCAACAGCCACCCGCACCUACUACGAAGGGGAAAAAGCAGAAGGGGAAAAGUUCUCAAGGAUCUGGUCCAUCAUCAUUAUCACCUGGUGUUGUCAAUCCAACUGAUUCUCACAAUGAAGCAGAUGUCAUCUCAAGUAUCCCCUCGAUGGAAGCUGCAUCUACACAAAUUUCAUCCAUGCAUGAGAUGCUGAAUCAGCUCAUCUCCAUGCAAAAAGAAACACAAAAGCAGAUGGGGAUGUUGGUUGCUGUUCCAGUUACCAAAGAGGGAAAAAGGCUUGAGACAGUCUUGGGACGCCAGAUGGAGAAAGUUGCUAAGGCCAAUGCUGAUGCUUUAUGGGCUCGCCUUCAAGAAGAAAGUGUUAGGCAGGAAAAAUUAUUGCGUGAGCGUACUCAACAGAUAACAAAUUUGAUCUCAAACAGCCUAAACAAGGACCUUCCAGUGUUGGUGGAAAAACUUGUGAAGAAAGAGUUAGGUGCCAUUGGGCAAACUGUUGCACGGAGUAUUGAGAAAACAGUAUCAGUGUCUAUUUCAGAAACUUUGCAGAAAGGAGUUGGUGACAAGGCUGUGAGCCAGCUAGAGAAAUCAGUCAAUUCCAAACUUGAAGUUACUGUUGCAAGACAAAUCCAAGCACAGUUUCAGACUUCUGGAAAACAAGCUCUCCAGGAGAAUCUGAAAUCUAUUCUUGAAGCCUCGCUUGUCCCUGCUUUUGAAAUGUCAUGCAAGGCAAUGUUUGAGCAAGUGGAUGCUACAUUUCAAAAGGGAAUGGCUGAACAUUCCGCUGCUGCUCAGCAACAGUUUGAGUCAAUGCAUUCACCACUGGCUCUUGCUUUAAGGGAUGCCAUCAAUUCGGCAUCAUCAGUGACACAAACCCUAAGUGGUGAGCUGGCUGAUGGUCAAAGAAAGUUGCUUGCUCUAGCAAAUUCUAAAGCCGCAAAUCCAACUGUCAACCCAUUGAAUAAUGGGCCCUUGCUCCAAGAGAAGUUUGAAGCACCCGUGGAUCCAACCAAAGAGUUAUCUAGAUUGUUGGUGGAGAGGAAAUAUGAGGAGGCCUUCACUGCAGCCUUGCAGAUCAGUGAUGUGAACAUUGUAUCCUGGCUAUGCUCUCAGGUUGAUAUGCCUGGGAUCUUAUCAAUGAACCCUCUCCCAUUGAGUCAAGGAGUAUUCCUCUCACUACUUCAACAGUUAGCUUGCGACAUUAGCAAAGAGACAACCCGGAAACUGUCAUGGAUGAGAGACGUGGUAUCCGCCCUAAACCCAAACGAUCCGAUGAUUGCAAUGCACGUCCGUCCUAUCUUCGAGCAAGUGUAUCAGAUACUAAACCAUCAUCGGAAUCUUCCCACCACGAGCGGUGCCGACCAGUCCAGCAUCCGCCUGAUCAUGCAUGUUAUCAACUCAAUGUUAAUGAGCCCUAAAUGAUUGAGUUGUGGAGCACACAGAAGUAAGUCUGUACAAAGUUCUAGGGAUUUUAUAUUACUUUCAUGUAGAGCGAGCUAAUUUCGGUCUGUAGAAUUGGAGUUUAUAGCAGUUUUUGUUAGUUUUGGAUUACUCCAUUUAUUAAAUGAAAUUUUGAGUUUAUUUCUGAUUUAGUCUUUGAUUAUGGUUGUAGUAUGUUCAUGUCAUCGUGAUACUGAUAUCUUAGGGUUGAAAAUU